rnacentral:rRNA from 1 species
UACGGAGGAGGCAAGCGUUAUCCGGAAUUAUUGGGCGUAAAGCGUCCGCAGGUGGCGAUUCAAGUCUGCGGUUAAAGACUGGGGCUUAACCCUGGAAAGGCCGUGGAAACUGAAACGCUAGAGUGCAGUAGGGGUAGAGGGAAUUCCCGGUGUAGCGGUGAAAUGCGUAGAGCUCAGGAAGAACAUCGGUGGCGAAAGCGCUCUGCUGGACUGCAACUGACACUCAGGGACGAAAGCUAGUGGAGCGAAUGGG